GCAUGGUAUGAUAGACAAUGAGACAACUCUCUACAAGAGACCAAAUGAAACAGAAGUUAACAAUUAUACAUAAAAAAAGAAGAUGUGGUAUGAUUGCCAAUGAGACAACUAUUCACAAGAGACCAAAUGACACAGACAUUAACAAAUAUAGAUCACCGUACGGCCUUCAACAAUGAGCAAAGUCAUACCGCAUAGUCAGCUUUAAAAGGAUCCGAGAAAACAAAUGUUUAACAAUUCAAACGAGAAAAUUAACGGCCUAAUUUAUGUACAAUAUAAUGAACGAAAAACGAAUAUAUUACACAGCAACGACAACCACCGAAUUACAGGCUCCAACACUCCCCUUAUCUUGAGACAUUGGUGCAACAGAACAAUAAAAGAACUGUACAAAAACAUACAUAAACAAGCAACAAAUAAUCUAAGACUAAAUUAUCAAUCACUACACAUCCAGUAUCCGUUACCGUACGGC
rnacentral:lncRNA from 1 species